rnacentral:rRNA from 1 species
UACGAAGGGGGCUAGCGUUGCUCGGAAUCACUGGGCGUAAAGCGCACGUAGGCGGCUUCUUAAGUCAGGGGUGAAAUCCUGGAGCUCAACUCCAGAACUGCCUUUGAUACUGAGAAGCUUGAGUCCGGGAGAGGUGAGUGGAACUGCGAGUGUAGAGGUGAAAUUCGUAGAUAUUCGCAAGAACACCAGUGGCGAAGGCGGCUCACUGGCCCGGUACUGACGCUGAGGCGCGAAAGCGUGGGGAGCAAACAGG